UAGGGAAUCUUCCACAAUGGGCGCAAGCCUGAUGGAGCAACACCGCGUGAGUGAAGAAGGGUUUCGGCUCGUAAAGCUCUGUUGUUAGAGAAGAACGUGCGUGAGAGCAACUGUUCACGCAGUGACGGUAUCUAACCAGAAAGUCACGGCUAACUACAUGCCAC
rnacentral:rRNA from 1 species